rnacentral:rRNA from 1 species
UACAGAGGUCCCGAGCGUUGUUCGGAUUCAUUGGGCGUAAAGGGUGCGUAGGCGGCGGGGCAAGUCUGAUGUGAAAUCCCCGGGGCUCAACCCCGGAACUGCAUUGGAUACUGCCUUGCUUGAGUACUGGAGAGGGAACUGGAAUUUACGGUGUAGCAGUGAAAUGCGUAGAGAUCGUAAGGAAGGCCAGUGGCGAAGGCGAGUUCCUGGCCUGUUCUUGACGCUGAGGCGCGAAAGCUAGGGGAGCAAACGGG